GUGGGGAAUCUUAGACAAUGGGCGCAAGCCUGAUCUAGCCAUGCCGCGUGAGCGAUGAAGGCCUUAGGGUUGUAAAGCUCUUUCAGUGGGGAAGAUAAUGACUGUACCCACAGAAGAAGCCCCGGCUAACUCCGUGCCAGCAGCCGCGGUAAUACGGAGGGGGCUAGCGUUGUUCGGAAUUACUGGGCGUAAAGCGCACGUAGGCGGACUGGAAAGUCAGGGGUGAAAUCCCGGGGCUCAACCCCGGAACUGCCUUUGAAACUCCCAGUCUUGAGGUCGAGAGAGGUGAGUGGAAUUCCGAGUGUAGAGGUGAAAUUCGUAGAUAUUCGGAGGAACACCAGUGGCGAAGGCGGCUCACUGGCUCGAUACUGACGCUGAGGUGCGAAAGCGUGGGGAGCAAACAGGAUUAGAAACCCUUGUAGUCC
rnacentral:rRNA from 1 species